rnacentral:ncRNA from 2 species
ACAAAGAGGUUAUUAUUCAUUUCGUAUAUGUUUGAUGAUAUGGUUCAAACGUUUCUACCAGGAUGCCGUAAACUGCCUGACUACGAAUGUAUAAUGGUUAUUG